AGGAUCAUUAAUGAAGUCGACGUCGGGGAAGGGGUUGUUGCUGGCUGUCUGCAUGUGCACACCCUUGACCAGACUCGUUUGUCCUUUGCUUCACACCCGUGCACAAACUGUAGCCAGGGGGAUGAUUACGGCAGUUCUUGUUUGAACUCUGAAUGCCCCCCGCUAUGAACGCUUUUCAAUACACCUUUUGUAAAGUAUCUACGAAUGACCAUGCGUGUAACAACGCGGAUGAAAUACAACUUUCAGCAACGGAUCUCUUGGCUCUCGCAUCGAUGAAGAACGCAGCGAAAUGCGAUAAGUAAUGUGAAUUGCAGAAUUCAGUGAAUCAUCGAAUCUUUGAACGCACCUUGCGCUCCUUGGUAUUCCGAGGAGCAUGCCUGUUUGAGUGUCGUGAAAUUAUCAACUGCUUUGGCUUUGUUCAAAGUGAAGUUGGACUUUGGAGGUGUUGUCGGCAUGCACGACUCCUCCUAAAAGCAUGAAGCCCUUUCUUUGCCAGGUCUCUUGGCGCAAAGUAUCUUUGACGUGAUAAACUGUCUACGUUGCAGAGAAAGCCUCGAGCGGGAGAGCGUUCACCUUUUUUCAAGGGGGGGAGCGGUUUCGACAAUGAUGGGUUUGUUGUGUGAGACGCUUAUGGGGUUUCACUUUGACCAUUUCGACCUCAAAUCAGGCAGGACUACCCGCUGAACUUAAGCAUAUCAAUAAGCGGAGGAAAAGAAACUAACAAGGAUUCCCCUAGUAACUGCGAGUGAAGCGGGAAGAGCUCAAAUUUGAAAUCUGGCGUGCCUCUGGUCGUCCGAGUUGUAGUCUGGAGAAGCGUCUUCCGUGCUGACCCGUGUACAAGUCCCUUGGAACAGGGCGUCAUAGAGGGUGAGAAUCCCGUCUUUGACACGGAAUGUCAGUGCUUUUGUGAUGCGCUCUCAACGAGUCGAGUUGUUUGGGAAUGCAGCUCAAAAUGGGUGGUAAAUUCCAUCUAAAGCUAAAUACAGGCGAGAGACCGAUAGCGAACAAGUACCGUGAGGGAAAGAUGAAAAGCACUUUGGAAAGAGAGUUAAACAGUACGUGAAAUUGCUGAAAGGGAAACGCUUGAAGUCAGUCGCGUCUGCCGGGACUCAGCCUUGCUUUUUGCUUGGUGCACUUUCUGGUGGACGGGCCAGCAUCGAUUUUGAUCGUCAGAGAAGGUUGGGAGGAAUGUGGCAUCCUUCGGGGUGUGUUAUAGCCUCUCGUCGGAUGUGAUGGUCGGGAUCGAGGACCGCAGCU
rnacentral:rRNA from 1 species